UACAGAGGGUGCGAGCGUUAAUCGGAAUGACUGGGCGUAAAGGGCGCGUAGGUGGAUAAUUGUGUUGGAUGUGAAAGCCCCGGGCUUAACCUGGGAAUGGCAUACAAAACUGGUUAUCUAGAGUGGAGCAGAGGUGAGUGGAAUUUCCGGAGUAGCGGUGAAAUGCGUAGAUACCGGAAGGAACACCAGUGGCGAAGGCGACUCACUGGGCUCAAACUGACACUGAGGCGCGAAAGCGUGGGGAGCAAACAGG
rnacentral:rRNA from 1 species